rnacentral:rRNA from 1 species
AGUGAACGCUGGCGGUAGGCCUAACACAUGCAAGUCGAACGGCAGCACAGUAAGAGCUCGCUCUUACGGGUGGCGAGUGGCGGACGGGUGAGGAAUACAUCGGCAUCUACUUUUUCGUGGGGGAUAACGUAGGGAAACUUACGCUAAUACCGCAUACGACCUACGGGUGAAAGCAGGGGAUCUUCGGACCUUUCGCGAUUGUAUGAGCCGAUGUCGGAUUAGUUAGUUGGCGGGGUAAAGGCCCACCAAGGCGACGAUGCGUAGCCGGUCUGAGAGGAUGAUCGGCCACACUGGAACUGAGACACGGUCCAGACUCCUACGGGAGGCAGCAGUGGGGAAUAUUGGGCAAUGGGCGCAAGCCUGAUCCAGCCAUACCGCGUGAGUGAAGAAGGCCUUCGGGUUGUAAAGCCCUUUUAUUAGGAAAGAAAAGCAGCAGGUUAAUGCCUCGCUGUUCUGACGGUACCCAAAGAAUAAGCACCGGCUAACUUCGUG